rnacentral:rRNA from 1 species
CCUACGGGUGGCAGCAGUGAGGAAUAUUGGUCAAUGGACGAGAGGCUGAACCAGCCAAGUAGCGUGAGGGAAGACGGCCCUACGGGUUGUAAACCUCUUUUGUCGGGGAGUAAAGCGAGUCACGUGUGACUUAUUGAGAGUACCAGAAGAAAAAGCAUCGGCUAACUCCGUGCCAGCAGCCGCGGUAAUACGGAGGAUGCGAGCGUUAUCCGGAUUUAUUGGGUUUAAAGGGUGCGCAGGCGGAGGUGCAAGUCAGCGGUCAAAGUGCGGGGCUCAACCCCGUACUGCCGUUGAAACUGCAUCCCUUGAGUGCGCGAGAGGUAUGCGGAAUGCGUGGUGUAGCGGUGAAAUGCAUAGAUAUCACGCAGAACUCCGAUUGCGAAGGCAGCAUACCGGCGCGCAACUGACGCUCAUGCACGAAAGCGUGGGUAUCGAACAGGAUUAGAUACCCUUGUAGUC